GCCAUAUAUGCAUGUUAGUCAUGGUUGAAAACUAACUUUCUUCAUCUGAUCAGUUAGCUGGCUCUAAUAGGGUAUACCACUGAGAGAGACAGAACAAGAUGAUGCUUCCAGUGGAAGGUGGCUAGUAAAAACCAUGAGAACAUGAGGUGCUGCCUUAUGAACAAUGGACUUCAGUAAUGAAGAAAACUCAGAGCCCUGAAAUUGUCUUCUUAUUCCAAACAAUCCUCUUACUUUAAGGUCACACUGAGGAAUAGAAGAAAAGGGAGGGAGGAAGAAAAAGAAUGGGGAAGGAAGAAGAGAAAGGAGAGAAGGAUGGAAAGAGGAAGAAAG